rnacentral:rRNA from 1 species
GAUCGAUGGCUCAGAACGAACGGCUGGCGGCAUGGAUUAGGCAUGCAAGUCGACGAAGCAGCAAUGCUUAGUGGCGGAAGGGUGAGGAACGCGUGAGUAAUCUGCCCUCAAGUUGGGAAUAACAGCUGGAAACGGCUGCUAAUACCGAAUGUGGCUGUUGGGUCGCAUGGUCUGACAGUUAAAGAUUUAUUGCUUGAGGAUGAGCUCGCGUCCCAUUAGCUAGUUGGCGGGGCAACGGCCCACCAAGGCGAUGAUGGGUAGCUGGUCUGAGAGGAUGGUCAGCCACACUGGGACUGAGACACUGCCCAGACUCCUACGGGAGGCUGCAGUCGAGAAUCUUGGGCAAUGCGCGAAAGCGUGACCCAGCCAAUGCCGCGUGCGUGAUGAAGGUCUUCGGAUUGUAAAGCGCUGUCAACCGGGACGAACUUAUGACGGUACCGGUGAAGGAAGCCACGGCUAACUACGUGCCAGCAGCGGC